UGUCUUUUUAAAUGUAAAAGUUCUCUUUGCCAGUUGGGUUAGGGUUGGAGUCCGAGCAGAAACGACUUCGUCACCACGCCUGGUAGCGUUAGCCUAGCCCUAGCCCUAGCCCUAAUCCUAACCCUAAUUUCUGUUUCUUCUUCUCUCUAUAGAAUGGUGGAUAUGCAAUUUGGGGUUGUGGAUUGUUGGAUGAUCAAUAGAGGGAGGGGUUGGAAGAGAGAAGAUGAAGGCGACUGUGAGUUCCUGAAUUUGGAAUUCUCAGCAUGUGGAUUGGGGUUCCGCUUUGUUCUUGUUCUAGAAUUGAGCUGAUUUCAGCGCUUCAUGCAAUUGGAUUUGGUUUUGAGACGCUGAGUGGAAGGGUGACUAUGGCGGACUGUAUUUUGUUUGCAAGAACAGAUAUCAGUGGCUGCGGAGGAAUGGUUAUGCUGUUACAGAUACAUGAAAUGCAAAAGAAUUAUCUCUGGAAUCAGGGAGGUGGUUUUUCUUUCUGAACUUUUUGAGACAGCAUCUCUACUUUUGUUGUUUCUGUAAUGUUACAUUUUUUACUUUAAAGGUUUAUCCUUUCUUUCUCUUCUAAAUUGACUCGGUUCCAUAUGUGGCCAAAGGUGUUGAGGCCACCUGACUGCCUUUACACCUUCGCGUCAUAUGUAGCCCAAGGUGUCAAAACCACCCCUCUGUCUUUACACCGUAACUUCCAUGGGGCCGUACAAUAUUCUGGUUCAUUCUUUUACAUUGAAAAGACACAGGAAAUAAGAUAUCAUGUUUGAUCUGAUGAACACUCUGUAGAUUGGGUGGGCUCUGUAUGAGUGAGGGAGCACCUUUUUUUAUUUCCCCUUUGUCAGGCUAUACCUUUUGUUUAUCCCUUUGUAUACAGCCUGUGUACCUUGCUGUAUAGCUCCUUUCACUAAUAUACAGAUAUCUUAUCUUUGUUUAUCAAAAUUCUGAUGGAAACUCUGCAUUUGUUAUUAUUCCUUCCCUGUUCUUUUCUUUGAAAAAUGAUUGGCUAGCAAGAUCAUAAGUUUCUUAUUCUGAAAGAUGUGGUGAUUUAUAUUUUCAUCCCAAGUGUUAUGAUUUUCAAUCUCCAAUUUCACAUAAGCUUGUUACCCCAAAACUUGCAGCUUCAUAGUCUUUUUCAUUUGUUUUCGUCUCGCAGCAUUUUUUAGCUUCAUCUACUCUCAAAUGUGUGUAAACCUUUAUUUUUUGCAUCUGAUUGUUAUUUAUUUUUGUUUUUCCCUGACAAAUAUUUUGAUCAAAUGUAAAUUCUGUAAGCAACACAUACAAUCAAAUCUCUGCUCUGGUAGUGGGAUCAGGUGUUAAUUUUUUGUCUGAAGCUUUUUGUUUUCUUGUUAAUUAAUUGAGACAAUUCUUGAUUCAAUUUUGAUGGAUAGCCAACCACAAAGGCAACUCCUAAAUCCUGUUGAGAAGUUUGCCAUCAGUUCACAAGAGUCAACAUGGAAGCAUAGUCCAUGAAGUGGAGCAGUUUGAGCAUGCUGAUAAACUAACCUCAUGGCUUUUUUGGAAAGUAAAGACAUAUUACUCGAUUUCUUGAAAAUAUAAGGUGCUCUUCCUUUUCACAUGAAAAACUUAGUGUGCUCAUGAAGUAACAUGCUCUUCUUUAUCUUGGGUUUCAAUGGCACGCCAAGUCUACCCAGGUAGUACUGUAAAAUAUAAUAAACCAUCAGAUAUUGGGAUGGAAAGAGACAACAGAAGCCUGACAAAAGAUCUGCGGUUCUUAUUUCUUGGUGGUUUUGGGGGAGAAAGUAUGAGCCUAUAUGCUUCCAUCUCUUUGAGGUUAUUACCAAUGAACUUGAGAAGCCUUCUCAUCAUAUGGGGAUAAUGAAGCAAAAGGGCAUGGAUGUUUAUGUGAAGUAAGUUAUUGAUUGGUUGGAGGAUGUGGAGCGACUUAUGUUAAUGACAUGCAGAAAACACUUUUGAUGUUGACAUUCUCAACAUUGUUAUAGGAAAGUUUUUACUUCAUCUGCUUUCAAGGAUAUGUUUAUGGAAGCAAAACUCACGAGGAAAAGGGUGUUACUCUUUAAACAUAUAUGUGUAAAUUCCAUGUAAGUUCUUUUGUAUCUCUCCAAUCAGCAAGAUGUUUCUUAGUUCUAACUAGCGGUGAAUGAAGAGGAUGGCCAACCCCAACGCAAUUUGGAUCUUUCAUCUUUGUUGUAGGGUGGGCCUAUCCCAUAAACAUAACCCCAUGUUGGUUCUGUUUAAAUUUCCUCUAAAGAAGAGGGGAUUGAAAAAAAAAUGCUUGGUUUGAUUGCUUUAGUAGUAUUUCUUUGUCAGGGACAUUUGAUUUAAAUAAAAUUCCAUCUUAUGGUUAGUUCAA